CCUACGGGCGGCAGCAGUGAGGAAUAUUAGUCAAUGGGCGAGAGCCUGAACCAGCCAAGUCGCGUGAGGGAGUACUGCCCUAUGGGUUGUAAACCUCUUUUGUCGGGGAGCAAAAGCCGGACGUGUCCGGCUGUGAGAGUACCCGAAGAAAAAGCAUCGGCUAACUCCGUGCCAGCAGCCGCGGUAAUACGGAGGAUGCGAGCGUUAUCCGGAUUUAUUGGGUUUAAAGGGUGCGCAGGCGGAUUUUUAAGUCAGCGGUAAAAUCGUGGGGCUCAACCCCAUCCAGCCGUUGAAACUGGGGAUCUAGAGUGUGCGAGAGGUAUGCGGAAUGCGUGGUGUAGCAGUGAAAUGCAUAGAUAUCGCGCAGAACCCCGAUUGCGAAGGCAGCAUACCGGUGCACAACUGACGCUCAGGCACGAAAGCGUGGGUAUCGAACAGGAUUAGAUACCCGUGUAGUC
rnacentral:rRNA from 1 species